AGGACGAACGCUGGCGGCGUGCUUAACACAUGCAAGUCGAGCGGAAAGGCCUUUCGGGGUACUCGAGCGGCGAACGGGUGAGUAACACGUGAGUAAUCUGCCCAUCGCUUCAGGAUAGCCAUCGGAAACGGUGAUUAAUACUGGAUAUGACAUUCCUUCGCAUGUUGGGGUGUGGAAAGUUUUUUCGGCGGUGGAUGUGCUCGCGGCCUAUCAGCUUGUUGGUGGGGUAAUGGCCUACCAAGGCUUUGACGGGUAGCCGGCCUGAGAGGGUGACCGGCCACGACUGGGACUGAGACACGGCCCAGGCCUCCGUACGGGAGGCAG
rnacentral:rRNA from 1 species